rnacentral:piRNA from 2 species
UACAUGCAGGCAAAACAGCCAUACACAUACA